rnacentral:tRNA from 1 species
AUUUAUAAAGUAUAUAAAUUUGUAUAUGUGACUUCCAAUCACAAGGACUAAAUAAUUUAGUAUAAAUA